rnacentral:rRNA from 1 species
UACGUAGGGUGCGAGCGUUAAUCGGAAUUACUGGGUGUACAGGGUGCGCAGGCGGACUUGUUAGUCAGAGGUGAAAUCUCACUGCUCAACAGUGAAACUGCCUUUGAUACUGCAGGUCUUGAAUCCAGAAGAGAGUUGUGGAAUUCCGAGUGUAGCAGUGAAAUGUGUAGAUAUUCGGAAGAACACCAGCGGCGAAGGCAGCAACUUGGUCUGGUAUUGACGCUCAGGCACGAAAGCAUGGGGAUCAAACAGG